GACGAACGCUGGCGGCGUGCCUAAUACAUGCAAGUCGAGCGAAUGACGAGAAGCUUGCUUCUCUGAUUUAGCGGCGGACGGGUGAGUAACACGUGGGCAACCUGCCCUACAGAUCGGGAUAACUCAGGGAAACCUGGGCUAAUACCGGAUAAUCCUUCGAAUCACAUGUUUUGAAGUUAAAAGGCGCUUCGGCGUCACUGUAGGAUGGGCCCGCGGUGCAUUAGCUAGUUGGUGGGGUAACGGCCUACCAAGGCAACGAUGCGUAGCCGACCUGAGAGGGUGAGCGGCCACAUUGGGACUGAGACACGGCCCAAACUCCUACGGGAGGCAGCAGUAGGGAAUCUUCCACAAUGGACGAAAGUCUGAUGGAGCAACGCCGCGUGAGUGAUGAAGGUUUUCGGAUCGUAAAACUCUGUUGUAAGGGAAGAACAAGUACGUUAGGAAAUGAACGUACCUUGACGGUACCUUAUUAGAAAGCCACGGCUAACUACGUGCCAGCCGCCGCAGUAA
rnacentral:rRNA from 1 species